GGCAUGGAGCACUCUGACCAGCCACCCCGCGUGAGGACGAAGGCGUUCUGCGUCGUAACUUCUUUUGUCUGUGAAGAGAGAUUCAGUUACUGGAUAAUUGACGGUAACAGACGAAUAAGCACCGGCUAACUCCGUGCCAGAGGCCGCGGUAA
rnacentral:rRNA from 1 species